rnacentral:rRNA from 1 species
GACGAACGCUGGCGGCGUGCUUAACACAUGCAAGUCGAACGGAAAGGCCCUGCUUUUGUGGGGUGCUCGAGUGGCGAACGGGUGAGUAACACGUGAGUAACCUGCCCUUGACUUUGGGAUAACUUCAGGAAACUGGGGCUAAUACCGGAUAGGAGCUCCUGCUGCAUGGUGGGGGUUGGAAAGUUUCGGCGGUUGGGGAUGGACUCGCGGCUUAUCAGCUUGUUGGUGGGGUAGUGGCUUACCAAGGCUUUGACGGGUAGCCGGCCUGAGAGGGUGACCGGCCACAUUGGGACUGAGAUACGGCCCAGACUCGUACGGGAGGGAGCAGUGGGGAAUAUUGCACAAUGGGCGGAAGCCUGAUGCAGCAACGCCGCGUGCGGGAUGACGGCCUUCGGGUUGUAAACCGCUUUCGCCUGUGACGAAGCGUGAGUGACGGUAAUGGGUAAAGAAGCACCGGCUAACUACGUG